GGGCCCACCUGGUCAAACUAUAUGGGUCGCACAUGGGCAAAUGCAAGUCAGACCCUGAAAGCAUGUCUAUGUGGGCCCCAGGUGGGGCAAAGUGAGGUAAUCAAUAUAUUUUUUAGCACUGAAAACACAGGUGGGGCCCACCUGGUCAAACUAUAUGGGUCACACAUGGGCAAAUGCAAGUCAGACCCUGAAAACAUGUCUAUGUGGGCCCCAGGUGGGGCAAAGGUGAGGUAGUCAAUAUAUUUUUUAGCACUGAUGACACACGUGGGGCCCACCUGGUCAAACUAUAUGGGUCACACAUAGGCAAAUGCAAGUCAGACCCUGAAAACAUGUCUAUGUGGGCCCCAUAUGGGUUAUGUUAAGUUAAUAUGGGCAUAUAUUUUACGUGGGCUCAAGA